UUGCUUGUCAGCAGUCUUAGGGCUGGGUUUAAUUCAUAAUUACCUGAGCGUUGCAACUGUGGUCAACUCUCCUCUCCUUAACACUCACUCUCCACUCACUCUCUGCUUACUCAGGCACCCCAUUCUGAUUAAAUUAGGGCCAUUUGUCAUUGGCUAGAGCCUACGUAUUAUGAAUUGACUUUCUGUGCUACAGCUCUAGGGGGCAGUAUUUCAGAAAUUGCUGAUGGCUGGGUGUAGGGGUGGCCUAGGAGAGGAUGGUGUAGUUGGAGGAGCAUGGGGUUAGAAGAACUUCCUUUAGAAUUCCUUGUGUACUUGUUCAGUAAGCUUUCUGGGUUCUCGUUGAGUUAGUAAUAGCUUUUGUCAAAGCAAUGCUCAUAAUCUCUCUUCCCCCCCCCACCUGAAAUUUUUCACCCACUAGAUAAAAUGUAUUUAUUAUAGUUACCUGAAAAUGCCUUUUCCAGUGGUGGAUUUGGUUCUGCCUGAUGCCGUCUCCAAUGAGAAUUAUUAAAUGUAUACUUACUGGUAACUCUUUUGGUCUUGUUCCUGGUAGCUAACUUUCAGUUUUCUCUGUGGCCCAGAGUAGGUGUCUCUCCUCCCCCUCUCAUAACCUCUGAACCCAUGACUGUUGAGGUGACACUGCCCUUCUGCAAAAAGAUCAUGAAUGGCAUGGACUUAGAAUCCCAGCACUUGGGAAAAGGAGGCAGGACAAUCAUGAGCCACCCUGGGUCAUACAUGAGACCCUUUCUUAAACAGAAACAAUAAAACCUUGAGAUCACUGGCCUCUCAGUUCCUCUCAUCUCUUCUAUCUUUGGAACCACCUGGCUUUCUUGAACUGAUACUGUUUCUCCAUUAUUUGGUUCUCUACACCAAAAUAGCACAUUAAACAAACAAAAAAUCUAUUUGACUCAUAUUUGUUGGAGAAAGCGAUUCUACAAUAGGACUGGUGGUUUUCAAAGGCCAUCUAUUACAAAUGAGAAUGUAAGAUUCCAUGAGAGUAAGAGCAUUUCACAUCCGUUCCCUUCUACCGUCUCCAUGCUCACCCUAUUGCCAAGCAGAAGGUAUCAUGUUAAACAAAACCUACUGAAUGAGUUAACUAAGUGACGAUCUUAGAUACUAAAGUAUUAGGAAUGUUGCAGGCACAAUUGAGUUCUGUCUAGAGUUGUGCUCCCAGCACAGAGGCCACCAACCACAAGUCAGAUGUUUCACAGCCAUGUAUGGGUUGUCACAUGGGAGACCACAGUUCUGAAGCAAAGAGCUGUAUAAAAGAUGAGCAGGGGCCUGGAGAGAGGGGCCAGCAGUUAAGAGCUUUGCUGCUCUUCCAGAGAGCUCAAGUUUGGUUCCCAGCACCCAUGUCAGCUACCUGAAACUCCAGCUACUGGGAGUCCAACUUUUAUGUAGGAACCUACAUUCAUGUGGCAUACCCUUACACAGACACAGGGAUAUGCAUUAAAAAAAAAAGAAAAGAAAAGAUUUAAAGACAAACAGUCACUUGAUUUCAUGGGACAAAUCCCACUUCACCCCCCUCUUCCCCAUCUCCUUCAGCCCCUUUGUUGGAGUUAGGAGACUGAUUUUGUUUUAUGUGUUUUCAGGGUUCAGGAGUAACUUAACCCUUUUCUUCAUUGAAUUACAAAGAGCCAGGUUUUUCUUUGGAAGGAACAAAGCAUAGGAGCCAAAACAAAUUUUCUUCUUCUUCUUUUUUUUUUUUUUGGUCAUAUAAACUUGUAAACCUGGCAGCUAAGAUGCUGAAAUAGGAGACUCCCAGAUUCAAGGCCAGCCUGGGGUUUGGAGAUCCUGUCUGGGAAUAGAAAAGUUGGGUGAAAAAGUGAAAAUUUUCUAAGAUGAAACAGCUUGCCUAAGGAAAGACUUGGGACAGUAAUUGUUAACCAUGGAUUUUAGCAUUAGCAAUACUUGGGGACAUUUUACAGAACAUAAAUAACUCACCUCCUCCUACACUAUUGAAUCAAAACUCCAUGUGUGAGACGGAUCCUUGUGUAACAGGCUGAAGCUCACUCAAUGCUAUUAUGCUAUUGACGUGUGUCUUCGGUUAGUGUGAUUAGUAAGGCUGGAAAAAGCAAAUAUGCAUGUGGUUGUCACUUUACUUGCUUUUUAAAUUCUUCAAGCAAUAUGGUAAUAUAAAGCAUUAGGCUAAGCAAUUCAUUUAUUGGAUAAUUUAUUAGAAAAGUACCUCAUUGAAACCAGAAUAGGCCUAUCUAUGUAUUUUUAACUCUUAUUCCUUUUUUAGUUUACAUAAAUGUUCUAUGCCACCAUAUUUUUUUGAGGGUUCCUUUAAGCUAUCCGAUAGCAACAUGUAUAUAUUUUUUUACUUAGGAAUAGAAUUGUAAAACUCUUUGCAUGACUUCACUUCCGCUAGCCAUACCUAGAAAACAGUGUCCAUAUCUGUCUGGUGGUCUUUUUCCCUACUUUGACGUGAAUAAAGUUUGAAAUAGGUAACAAACUUUUUGCAAACCUUAGUUGCUAAUCUAAAAAUAAUGAUGGAGACUCUGAGGUAUCUAUUUUUGAGCAGUGUAAGUUUAGUAAGUUGUCCUUAAAAGCCAAGGACAACAUACUAGCUGGUAAUAUAAUAAUAGCUAGUAAGGUCUGGAUGCCAGAGCACCAUGGUAAGCAUUUUCCCAUGCCAUCUCUCUUUCACUUGUGAAAAUGGUGAACAGACUUUUUAGAGAUGAAGAAACUGAGGCUCAGGGAGGGUUUGUGACAUGUCCGUUAGGGCACAGCUAGUGUGAGUCACAGUGGCUGAACUUGAACCACUUGAAUUCUGACCACCAUGAUGGGCUCCUACUCACCCAUAUGGCCAGAGGAAGAUUCCUAGGCAUGCACUUCUUCGUUUGAACCAAAAGACAACAACCGUUCAAGAUGGUACAGGAGGAAGUUUGAGACAGAAAGGCCAAUCGCAUGGCGGGCUUUGCUGGUCUAUGAGUGAGGCUGGAGUAUUAUGCAGAGUGUGCCUGAGAUGGGCUUUGCAAAAUGAAUUGCUGUCUUGUUUCAUACCAAGCCAGUUGCAUUGUCUGUGUGAUUCUUGCCUCCUGGUGAGCAAGCCCUGCAUUAGCGAUGGCUUCCAGGUGACCAGGUGACCAUCCAAAGCCCUUUCUCUCAUUGAGCCCAUCCACUCUUUCUCUGUGGUAUCCACUGGAUGCAGGUUUGCCCCUGCCUAUGUUUUAAAGUGUGUGUGUUGAUUUUCUUUUGGUCGAUUAUUUUUUACAUAAGCAAGGUAAGUACUCCUGAGAUUUUUUGUGAAAAUCCUUUCACAUAACCUCAGAGUUUGUAAUUUGAAACCUCAUUGGCGAGAGAAUUGCAGCUAAGCAAAGGAAUCCAGAUGAGUUCUGACUUGUUCAAUCCAAGGACACAAAGGAACACAGCAAAAUGAAAGUCAGGGGCUUGUUUGGAAUUCUGUGACUUUUCUUUUCCCUGCAUAUGUUACUUAGACUGUAGUUCUGGUUUCUAAACCGUAUAAAACACUUGCUUCCAUGUCAGUCUAUAUGCCUUGUAGUGGUUUUAAUGAGUAACGUCACCCCAGACUCAUGGUUUGAACACUUACUACCCAGUUUUAUGCUACCAUUUCAAGCAGUGAAGCCUUUCAGGGAUAGGGCCUGGCUGACAGAAAGAAUUAUGCCACCAAGGGGAGGGGUGUCUUUGAAGAUUUUAACCACUCUUCCUAUCCAGGUCUCUCUGCUUCUUAGUCUAUCACCAUGUGACUGCCAUUGUCAUCAUAGAGAACUGAAAUACCUUUGAAACCAGGAGCCAAAAUAAGCCUUUCUCCAUUCAGCUGUUUCUGUUAAGUAAUAUCUCAGCAUGAUUCAAAAAUAAUAUCUCUAGACCAUAAGAUAUAAAUUGGGAAUUGAGUCACUUGCUCAUUUAUUCAUUCAAGCAUUUAUUGAUUUCCUUCCAUUUGAUUUUUAAUUCCAAGGGACUUACCUUCCCAAGAAGUAGAAUUUGCUUGCCCAACAAAUAUUUUUAAACCCGUGUUUUGCAUAUUUGCUAGGGAUCAUAAGAGGAGACAGAACAUGCCGUGUGGAGGGAAGGAAGGGAAAGAGACACACAGACAAUUGACAAAGACAGAGAAAGCUAGGUGAGUGAGUAGAGAUGAUGUAUCACAUGGUGUUGGAAAUCAAGCCUGAGUAAAAUGCUGUGUAGCAGGAGAGGCAUCUGAGAAUGUGUCACCUAUAGUGCAUUGAGACCUAAAGAAGGAAGGAGGCUUCCAGAGGGAUCAGCGGGAGUGGGGUCCUGAUAUGGCUCCUGUGGGAGAAAUGACAGAAAAAGUUAUGUGAAUGUAACAGAGGUGGGGAGUGGGGGGAGAGGUAUUCAAGAGAGGAGCUUCAAGGCCACGUUAGUGCUUUUUAGCUGCUACGAUAAAUCAAAAGUGACUUAAGGGAGAAAGGGCUUACACUUCUAGCUUACACUUCCAGAGGGAUAGUCCAUUAUGACAGGGAAGGCAUGGCACAGAGGCAGGGUCAGGAAGACAGUUGAUUACAUUUUUCAAAUCUACACGAAGGAAGCCAGGAGAGUACAGGAAGUAUAUAAUUAUUAUUCUGUUAUUUACUAGAUACUUAGAUGGUUUCAGAUAUUUACUUUAUGGAUGCUAAUGGGCAGAGUUUCAUCUAGAUGGUAGUUAAAAUUAUGUAAUAGACACCCUUCAUUCCAAACUCCCUUGUAGAAAAGUCAAGAAUGUUCCUUGAGACCUUAAUGAACUCAUGUUGUUUUUUCUGUCCUGCCUGAUACAGUUUAUGUCACUGUCACUAAUGCAUACUUGAGGUGGCAAAUCUUGCCAUUACUCUCUGACUUGGGUUUCAGUCUCCACACAGAGGCAGGUAGUGCUGGCACCUGGCAACCAAUUCACUCAUGGGGAUUCCAUGCAGUGACCCCUUACUCUCCUUAGCGUUAUUUUGUUCUAUUUCUUUUCUAUAUCCUUCAGAAGAGGCAAAGACUAAUUCUGGCUUUGAUGCCCCCAUAGGAAGCCUGCAAAACAACAACAAAAACCACAUUACUAAAGGCAUAGAUGGUCUUGAGAAACAUGACAAAGGGAAUUUGGAAAGCCAUAGUUUUACAGGUUGGAUCUAAAAUGUUCCUACAGGCAAUAUGUGUUGAAUGCUUAUUCUCUAGAUGGAAAACUAUGGAAACUUUUAGGGAUUGGUGUUAAGUUGGGCACGGGGGCUGGCUCUUGUAGCCCUAGUUGUGGCAGCCCGUGCUUCCUGCCCCUUCUACCACCAUGAACUCCAUCCAACCUUCCCUAUCAUGACUGACAGAGAGUUUCCAGAACCAUGAGCCCAAAUGAAUCUUUUCUCUUAUGAGUUUUUGCUGUGAGGUAUUUGUCAUAGUGAUACAAAAGUAGUUGAGACACAUAGGUAAGUGGAUGGAGGUUUUCUAAGGUGAUCCAGGGAGAAGAAAAGAGACAAGAAAUGAGCCAAGAGGUUCCUGAGCAUCUGUGUAUAUUGCCCUUUUUAUAUGCUAAAUAUUUUCUCAUUUAAAAAAUUACUUAAGUUUUUCUGUAUUACUCUGAAGAAUCCAUAAAGAAUAUAAGAGAAGAGAUUAUAUUUAUUAAGUACAUGAAUGUGUCUAUUCAUUUUUAUACAUGUCAUUUCACUUGAACUUCCAACACCCUGGUGAAAUUGGGGUGUUUCUCCUCAUUUAGUGGGUGAGUAGCAGAAAGCUCUGGGAGGUUAAUGACAUGCCAAGGAUUCAUGGGAGGUGUUAUGAUUUAAACCCUCUCUCUCCUUUCUUCCCUCCUUCCUCCCUCCCUCCUUCCUCCCCCUUCUCCCACCCUCUUUCUCUUCCUCCCUCCCUCCCCUCCCCCACCUUCUUUCAAAUGUGUGGGUGUGUGCACUUACUUGAAGAUGCUAGAAGAGAACAUCAGAUCACUCCUGGAACUGGAGUUAAAAGGCAGUUUUAGCCACACACACAGGUGAUAGGAACAGAACCCAAUCCUCUACAGGAGCAACCAGUUGUUCCUAACCACUGAGCAAUCAUUCCUGCCCUGCAAAGAUUUUCUUUCUGCCAAAAGCCACCUUGCUUGCUACUUGCAUAUGUAACGAAGUUGAUUGCUCACACUUUAAGGCUAUUUUUAAACUUAACAGAAUUACACAAUACCUUAGUUUUUAACCCAAAUAUCUCUAUUUACAAAAUUAUCUCCUAAACUCUCAGUUCUAUAUUCUCUGGAAGGAGAGCUUUCUGGUGUCUUUGUAAGGUUGACUCCAAAACGGACUGUGACUUGCCCCCAUCAUUGCUUGCAUCGUUGAAAAUAGUUUGUUGUUCACAGGAUCUGAUUUUUAGUUCAGAUCUCUGGGUUUCAAAAGUAAGUGUUCCUCCUGGUAGUCUAUAAACAUGCUGAUAGUGAGCCAAUGAAGAAAUUUAACAUGCCAUUAGAUGACAGAUUGUAAUGAUCCCAAAUAUGUUCCCUAAUUUCAUUUGAAAAAAAAAAAAAAACAGAGUGCAAGGAAUAAAAAAAAUUGCCAAACUUUGAAUUUUGACUUGGAUGGUACUGCUGACUGGCUCUUACAUGUUAUUCCUGUUGGUAAUAUAUCUUUCACCAGACUUCACAAAAAGUCAUGUUUCAUAUCUUUUGAUUCCCCGUGGUCUUAGUGGUUAAUCAAAAGUGACCCCCUCUCAAGCCUCCUCCAUGAUAUUUUUUUAACAAGUCCCACUUUAUAUAUUCUGUUCCAGCGAAUCAUUGGCCCCAGAAAAUACUUUAAGCGUGGAUUUUUAAAACUGUUAAGUGAGCUGUAUUUCUACCUGCCCACCAGGAAGGUACCCACAGGUGAACAUUACAGCAAGAAUAAUGAAGUCAGAUCCUCAUGCACUGUUCUCUCUCAGCCCAAAUCACUCCAACUACUAUGAUAUAUAUUGUUGUUUAGAUACAUUUAUCAGUACCUUAAGUAUUUAAAAUAGUGUGCUUUUCAGAUACCUUGAUUUCCUUUAUCUGCUAUUACCAAGAAAUAGUUUCUAAUUGCCCUCCCAAUAAAUAUUAUAUAGGC